rnacentral:rRNA from 2 species
GGAUGAGUGGCGAACGGGUGAGUAACACGUGGGUAAUCUGCCCUGCACUCUGGGAUAAGCCCUGGAAACGGGGUCUAAUACCGGAUAUGACAUCGUGCCGCAUGGUGUGGUGUGGAAAGCUCCGGCGGUGCAGGAUGAGCCCGCGGCCUAUCAGCUUGUUGGUGGGGUGAUGGCCUACCAAGGCGACGACGGGUAGCCGGCCUGAGAGGGUGACCGGCCACACUGGGACUGAGACACGGCCCAGACUCCUACGGGAGGCAGCAGUGGGGAAUCUUGCGCAAUGGGCGAAAGCCUGACGCAGCAACGCCGCGUGGGGGAUGACGGCCUUCGGGUUGUAAACCUCUUUCGACACCGACGAAGCCAUCUUCGGGUGGUGACGGUAGGUGUAGAAGAAGCACCGGCUAACUACGUGCCAGCAGCCGCGGUAAUACGUAGGGUGCGAGCGUUGUCCGGAUUUAUUGGGCGUAAAGAGCUCGUAGGCGGUUUGUCGCGUCUAUCGUGAAAACCGGGAGCUUAACUCCUGGCUUGCGGUGGAUACGGGCAGACUUGAGUUCGGUAGGGGAGACUGGAAUUCCUGGUGUAGCGGUGAAAUGCGCAGAUAUCAGGAGGAACACCGGUGGCGAAGGCGGGUCUCUGGGCCGAUACUGACGCUGAGGAGCGAAAGCGUGGGGAGCGAACAGGAUUAGAUACCCUGGUAGUCCACGCCGUAA